rnacentral:lncRNA from 1 species
GGGACACAGACCCCUGGACUGACUGGACCAGAGUUACAGACCCCUGGACUGACUGGACCGGGGACACAGACCCCUGGACUGACUGGACCGGGGACACAGACCCCUGGACUGACUGGACCGGGGACACAGACCCCUGGACUAACUGGACCAGAGUUACAGACCCCUGGACUGACUGGACCAGGGUCACAGACACCUUUUUAAAAACACAGCUCUUUGGGUGGGGGCGCUAGAGGAGUUAAAGGACAUCAGUUUCCCCAAUGUGCACAGCACUGGAUUGGACACCGAAGAGUUUUAACACUGUUGUGUGUUUUCUGCAGCCCGGAGCACAUCCUGAUUUGCGAAGUGAUGAGAGAUUAGGCUUGAUCUCUCUGCCCCUCCUGACGCUUUGAUUCUGCUGUCUGUGAUUCCGGGCCUCGUGCCUCAGGUCCGACGGCGAACCUUUAUCCGGGCGUCUGACGUCACCGCGCACGUACAACGUAACCUCUUGACCUCCCGCCCGCUCCGGGCCCCGCGAGGAGUCGGAUGGAGAGGGAUGGCGGCCGAGCCGCGUUGCGUUGCGUUCGCGGAAAGCCGGCAGGAAAAGACGCAACAGGGCGACGCGGUAACGUAUCCGGAAGCGACGCCAGACGCGAAUGCAGCCGGUUUGAAGACGUGCUUUCCGUGUCCGUGAAGCGCCGAGGCCGAGCCUGGACGGGCGUCCCACCUGCAGCAGCGAUGAACCUCCACCACCACCCUCGGUCUUCACCCGGCCGAGCUCGGCUUUUCAGCUGGUUUUUUUUUACAUUUAUUUGCCGUUUUCGGCCGCCGCCGAAAGCUCAGUGCUCUUCUAGAUUUACUUUUUGUUUUUGUUUUUUGUUUGCAACGUCGCGUAAAACCCAAACCAACCAAACGGCGAGUCUGAGCUCUUUCCUAAGGGCGUCGAUUUAAAGCUUCCAGAUUUCGGUGCGGUAGGACCUGUUUAUCCUUCAUUCCCUCGGUUAUUAAUCCGCUUGCCUUGGGCAGCUGAUUGUGAGGUUUUACUGGUUUGAUUUCAGGUGGGGGCUGCACACUGGUGCUG